rnacentral:rRNA from 1 species
GAAUAUUGCGCAAUGGGCGAAAGCCUGACGCAGCCAUGCCGCGUGUGUGAAGAAGGCCUUCGGGUUGUAAAGCACUUUCACUUGGGAAGAAAAGCUCGUAGCUAACAUCUGCGAGCCGUGACAUUACCUUGAGAAGAAGCACCGGCUAACUCCGUGCCAGCAGCCGCGGUAAUACGGAGGGUGCGAGCGUUAAACGGAAUUACUGGGCGUAAAGCGCGCGUAGGCGGUUUGUUAAGUCGGAUGUGAAAGCCCCGGGCUCAACCUGGGAAUUGCACCCGAUACUGGCCGACUGGAGUGCGAGAGAGGGAGGUAGAAUUCCACGUGUAGCGGUGAAAUGCGUAGAUAUGUGGAGGAAUACCGGUGGCGAAGGCGGCCUCCUGGCUCGACACUGACGCUGAGGUGCGAGAGCGUGGGGAGCAAACAGG